CGGCUGCCUCAUUGGCUGAAAAGUAGCCUCCGCCGGCGAUUGGGUAUUUAUAGAGAUUGAGCGGCGAGGUGGAGGCCCAGCUGUUCCUUCUCCGCGGCUCCCCGCCCCCUUCCUCCCACUCCCCCACCCCAACCCAGUCGUUUGGAAGCGGAGAGUGAAAAAAGGAAUUUAGGCGGGGUGCGCAGAACUAAAUAUAGCCCUUUGUGGCUGUUUUCGAGAGCGUCUGACUCGCCCGGUCACGACUGUCCCGUCCAGGGUGCAGAAGGGGCUGGUGACAGUGGCCCGCGCGCGAGGACCUGCAAAGUUUGCCAGGGCUCCGCAGCGAGGGCGGCGGGGCUGCGAUGAGCAACGGGCGCUGGAGGGCUAGGGGGGCUGCCCUGGCUUGCCUCUUCCCUAGCAUCCUCGCUGUCGGGCGCGCAGUUGCUGGACUGGGCUCGGCUCGCGUCCCCGCUCCUGGGAGGAGCUGGGGAGCUGCCUCGACCUGCCCCGAGCCUGCGCGAUGCCCGGCCGAGCAGAGGUGUCGGGACCUGCCCAGCAGACUUGGCCUUGGCAGUUGCGCCCCAGGGCGAGGGCGAGGGCGAGGGCGUGGGCAGGCAGCAGCGCUGCGUCAGCCCUGUCCUGCCUUUCUUAGCCGAUGCCACCGCCCUCCGGUUUAAAACACCGGCAUCACAGGGCUGAGCCGGGCCGGGCGGGGACUCCUGGUUUCAGUUCCCGGUGUGUCGUGACUCAACAGCCACGCUUUGCGAGUUCACCGUCUUCAAAGCCCUGCGCGUGGCGCGCACCCUGCAGUUAAAUAAUCUAGCAAUCAGAAGAUAGAGGGAAGACUCUGCAUAUGGGGGCUUGGGAAGAUAACACAGAACUUCAGAAUGCAGUCUAGUUUCUUUUUCAACUGAAAAGAGAACAUCAGCAGCGACUAACUGCUACCACAGAAGAGAACUCCUUCGAAGUCUCUGAGCACAGGGUGAGACUGAGGCAGCAUCCACCCUUUUGAACAGGAAGGAAGCAUCAAGAGACCGAAAAACAUAAGCUGAGGCGGUAAAGAGCUGAGAGAGUUCAAGCUAAAAUAACCUCUUCUCCAUAAUUACAAAUGGCAACACAUCUGCUGAAGGAGGGAGGCCUGAGAGGGGAUCUGAGUAGAAAUGAAACUGUUUCUAACCACAAUGGUGCUGCCUGCGUCAUGGAGUUCCUAGGCUAGUUAAUGUGAAGAUGCCAGUUCACCUUUGUUCAGUUAUUAAGGGGAUAUUGGUAAUCCCCUUAAGUUUGUCCAAUCAGAUUCUUUUAAAAUUUCUAUAACCUUUUUCUAACCACAUACAAAUAUGAGGAUACUUCAAAAAGUUUGCAGAGAAAUGGAAUUAAAAGUAUGAGUUUUAAGACCAGUGUUUGGGGGCAAGCGCCAUGGCUCACUUGGUUAAUCCUCCGCCUGCAGUGCAGGCAUCCCAUGUGGACGCCAUGUUCUAGUCCCAGUUGCUCCUCUUCCAGUCCAGCUCUCUGUUGUGGCCCAGGAAGGCAGUGGAAGAUGGCCCCUGCUUGGGCCCCUGCACCCGCAUGGGAGACCAGGAGGAAGCACCUGGCUCCUGGAUUCGGAUCGGUGCAGCAUGCCGGCUGUAGUGACCAUUUGGGGGGUGAACCAACAGAAGGAAAACCUUUCUUUCUGUCUCUCUCUCUCACUGUCUAACUCUAUCUGUCCAAAAAAAAAACAAAAAACAAAAAAACCAGUGCUUGAUGUAGUGAUUAAAUCACCACUUGGUACAGCCACAUCCUAUAUCAGUAUCUAGGUUCAAGUUCUAGCUUACCUUUCCAUACCAGCAUCCCUACUAGUGUACAUCCUAGGAGUUAGGAGAUGAUGGUUCAAAUAUUUGGAUCUAUGACACCUGUGUGGAAGACCUAAAUUGAGUUCCUGGCUUUGACCUGACAUGGUUUUGACUUGACAUGCUGUUGUAGGCAUUUGGGGGAGUGAACCAGCAGGAGGGAUAGAUAGAUCUCUCCCUCUCUCUCUCUUCUCUCUACCAAUCAAAUAAAUAAAUAACUAGUUUUUAAAAUAUGAGUUUAUGUUGGUGCAAAACUUUUUGAAAUCUAGGCAUAGUUUUUUUGCAUGAAUGUUAUCUCAUACUUUAAAUUCCAUUUUCCAUAAACUUCUUGAGGUAGAUUCAUGCAUAAUUAUUAAAUGAACUGCAUAUUUCCCAUAUGCCCUUACCCUUAGUGAAAAUACACAUGUCAAUCUAUGACUCAUGUAAUUAAAAAUUCCAUUACUAAUGGGAAAUUAAAUGAAUUAAUAAAACUAUCUUACCUACGUAGUCUCUUGAGUUUCUUUCUGUAACAUGUUAAAUUACAAUAAAGCCUUGGCUACCUAAAACCUCAGAAAAUGAAUCAUUUUUGCUAGUUGAAAAUCUGUCUAGAAAAUGUUGCUGCUGUCUGAUGUUAUAAUAAGUGCUAUCUAAAUUUGAAAUGUACAGGAAAUACUGAAAGAAUAAAUUAAAAACACAGUAACUGAAAACUUAA